rnacentral:rRNA from 1 species
UACAGAGGGGGCAAGCGUUGUUCGGAAUUACUGGGCGUAAAGGGCGCGUAGGCGGCCGGUUAAGUCGAACGUGAAAUCCCCGGGCUCAACCCGGGAACUGCGUCCGAUACUGGCAGGCUUGAAUUCGGGAGAGGGAUGCGGAAUUCCAGGUGUAGCGGUGAAAUGCGUAGAUAUCUGGAGGAACACCGGUGGCGAAGGCGGCAUCCUGGACAGUGACUGACGCUGAGACGCGAAAGCGUGGGGAGCAAACAGG